rnacentral:rRNA from 1 species
UACGUAGGGCGCAAGCGUUGUCCGGAAUUAUUGGGCGUAAAGAGCUCGUAGGCGGUUCGUCGCGUCGGCUGUGAAAACCCGGGAGCUCAACUCCGGGCCUGCAGUCGAUACGGGCGGACUUGAGUUCGGCAGGGGAGACUGGAAUUCCUGGUGUAGCGGUGAAAUGCGCAGAUAUCAGGAGGAACACCGGUGGCGAAGGCGGGUCUCUGGGCCGAUACUGACGCUGAGGAGCGAAAGCGUGGGGAGCGAACAGG